rnacentral:rRNA from 1 species
GAUCCCAGCUCAGGAUGAACGCUAGCGGUGCGCUUAACACAUGCAAGUCGUGCGAUCGAACCAGACGGAUUUUCCUUCGGGAACUGAAGACUAGUCACGGAGCGGCGAACUGGUGAGUAACACGUAGCUAACCUACCUUCUUGACAGGAACAACCAUUCGAAAGGAUGGCUAAUGCCUGAUGUUGUGCGGAGUUGAUGACUUCGUACCAAAGGCGGUCUUGCCGCCACAAGGAGAGGGGGCUGCGUCCUAUUAGCUUGUUGGUAGGGUAAUGGCCUACCAAGGCGAUAAUGGGUAGCUGGUCUGAGAGGACGAUCAGCCACAUUGGGACUGAGAUACGGCCCAGACUCCUACGGGAGGCAGCAGUGGGGAAUAUUGGACAAUGGACGAAAGUCCGAUCCAGCGACACCGCGUGGGGGAUGAAGGCUUUCGGGUUGUAAACCCCUUCUCUGGAGGAAGAAUAAGGUUGGGAGGAAAUGCCCAUCCGAUGACGGUACUCCAGGAAUAAGCAUCGGCAAACUUCGUGCCAGCAGCCGCGGUAAGACGAGGGAUGCAAGCGUUAUCCGGAAUUACUGGGCGUAAAGGAUGUCUAGGCGGUUGGAUAAGUCAUUUGUGAAAUCCCAGGGCUCAACCCUGGAAGGUCUUGUGAUACUGUCCGGCUUGGGUGUAGGAGAGGAGAGCGGAACUCACAGAGUAGCGGUGGAAUGCGUAGAUACUGUGAGGUACCCCGAUGGCGAAGGCAGCUCUCUGGCCUAUUACCGACGCUGAAGCAUGAAAGCGUGGGGAGCAAAGGGGAUUAGAUACCCCCGUAGUCCACGCCCCAAACGAUGUUCACUUGGUGUCGGGAGCCUAUAUAUCUCGGUGCCGGAGCUAACGCGUUAAGUGAACCGCCUGAGGAGUACGGCCGCAAGGCUAAAACUUAAGAGAAUUGACGGGUCCCCGCACAAGCGGUGGAGCACGUGGUUUAAUUCGAUAUAAGCGAAGAACCUCACCUGGGCUUGACAUACUAGUGGUAAGAACCGGAAACGGUGAUGACCCUACCUUCGGGUAGGGAGCUAAUACAGGUGAUGCAUGGCUGUCGUCAGCUCGUGUCGUGGGAUGUAGGGUUAAGUCCCGAAACGAGCGCAACCCUUGUCACUAGUUGCCAGCGGAUAAUGCCGGGGACUCUAGUGAGACUGCUGGUGAAUAGCCGGAGGAAGGCGGGGAUGACGUCAAGUCAUCAUGUCCCUUAUGCCCAGGGCGACACACAUG